UACGAGGGGGGCAAGCGUUGUUCGGAAUUAUUGGGCGUAAAGGGUGCGUAGGCGGUCUGACAAGUCUGAUGUGAAAUCUAUGGGCUCAACCCAUAGUCUGCAUCGGAAACUGUCGGGCUUGAGUAUGGGAGAGGUGAGUGGAAUUCCAGGUGUAGCGGUGAAAUGCGUAGAUAUCUGGAGGAACACCGGUGGCGAAGGCGGCAUCCUGGACCAACACUGACACUGAUGAGCGAAAGCCAGGGGAGCAAACGGG
rnacentral:rRNA from 1 species